rnacentral:misc_RNA from 1 species
AUUUACUUCCUGCAAACAAUUCCAUAUCCUGCAGACGCCCCGCGGGUGCAGUCUAGGGUGCCAAAAUCUAUAACCGGUGAGGUCUUUUGGUCUGAGCCACCUUGAGAGAUGAUGCAAGAUUGGCAAUCUGCAGAGAGAAGGGAUGGGGUUCUAUACUUAUCUUCACCCCCCAAAACUGGCAUUGCCACACCAGGCUUUGCUGGGUUCUCAAAAUCGGGCCUGUAAGUCCUGCCCAGUACUCCAUCGACCUUAGGGGACAGGUUAAAGAACCUAAAUUGCACCUACAAAUGGACAAAGCAGUCAUUAGCCGGGACUUGGUAGUUAUGGACUCUGUCAUCUUCUUUAGUCACUGGCACCGCAUUGACCAAAAUCUCUGCAGUAUCCUUCAAGGUGGCUAUGACACUGUUCUUACUUGAUACUCUCUCUACUUUAACAUCUUUCUCUUGGGAGUACCAGAUGGAGAGGGAGCCUUCUGGAAUAACUAAAUCUUGCCCAUUAUAGGUGAAUUUUAGAUGGUCAACCUCACUAACCCAAG